UGGUCGCCAACGAGUGGCGGACGGGUGAGUAACACGUAGGUAACCUGCCCAGAAGCGGGGGACAACAUUUGGAAACAGAUGCUAAUACCGCAUAACAACGUUGUUCGCAUGAACAACGCUUAAAAGAUGGCUUCUCGCUAUCACUUCUGGAUGGACGUGCGGUGCAUUAGCUUGUUGGUGGGGUAAUGGCCUACCAAGGGCGAUGAUGCAUAGCCGAGUUGAGAGACUGAUCGGCCACAAUGGGACUGAGACACGGCCCAUACUCCUACGGGAGGCAGCAGUAGGGAAUCUUCCACAAUGGGCGCAAGCCUGAUGGAGCAACACCGCGUGAGUGAAGAAGGGUUUCGGCUCGUAAAGCUCUGUUGUUAAAGAAGAACACGUAUGAGAGUAACUGUUCAUACGUUGACGGUAUUUAACCAGAAAGUCACGGCUAACUACGUGCCAGCAGCCGCGGUAAUACGUAGGUGGCAAGCGUUAUCCGGAUUUAUUGGGCGUAAAGAGAGUGCAGGCGGUUUUCUAAGUCUGAUGUGAAAGCCUUCGGCUUAACCGGAGAAGUGCAUCGGAAACUGGAUAACUUGAGUGCAGAAGAGGGUAGUGGAACUCCAUGUGUAGCGGUGGAAUGCGUAGAUAUAUGGAAGAACACCAGUGGCGAAGGCGGCUACCUGGUCUGCAACUGACGCUGAGACUCGAAAGCAUGGGUAGCGAACAGGAUUAGAUACCCUGGUAGUCCAUGCCGUAAACGAUGAGUGCUAGGUGUUGGAGGGUUUCCGCCCUUCAGUGCCGGAGCUAACGCAUUAAGCACUCCGCCUGGGGAGUACGACCGCAAGGUUGAAACUCAAAGGAAUUGACGGGGGCCCGCACAAGCGGUGGAGCAUGUGGUUUAAUUCGAAGCUACGCGAAGAACCUUACCAGGUCUUGACAUCUUGCGCCAACCCUAGAGAUAGGGCGUUUCCUUCGGGAACGCAAUGACAGGUGGUGCAUGGUCGUCGU
rnacentral:rRNA from 2 species